rnacentral:misc_RNA from 1 species
UUUCCGUAGGUGAACCUGCGGAAGGAUCAUUCAUAAUAAAGUGUUUUAUGGCACUUUUUAGAAAUCCAUAUCCACCUUGUGUGCAAUGUUAGAUCUCGUCAAUCUUGGCGAGAUUUUUAUACAUCAACUCUUUCUUUAACUAAUUUGUCUGAAAAAUAUUAUGAAUACUUAAUUCAAAAUACAACUUUCAACAACGGAUCUCUUGGCUCUCGCAUCGAUGAAGAACGAGC